rnacentral:rRNA from 1 species
UACGUAGGGGGCAAGCGUUGUCCGGAAUCAUUGGGCGUAAAGCGCGCGUAGGCGGCCCGAUAAGUCCGCUGUGAAAGUCAACGGCUCAACUGUUGGAUGCCGGUGGAUACUGUCGGGCUAGAGUACGGAAGAGGCAAGUGGAAUUCCUGGUGUAGCGGUGGAAUGCGCGGAUAUCAGGAAGAACACCAAUGGCGAAGGCAGCUCUCUGGGACGGUACUGACGCUGAGACGCGAAAGCGUGGGGAGCGAACAGG